rnacentral:rRNA from 1 species
UACGGGGGAUGCGAGCGUUGUCCGGAUUCACUGGGCGUAAAGGGCGCGUAGGCGGCCCGGUCAGUCGGCGCUCUAAGUGCGGGGCUCAACCCCGUGAUGGCGCCGGGACGGCCGGGCUGGGGCGCGGCAGAGGGAGACGGAAUGCCGGGUGUAGUGGUGAAAUGCGUAGAGAUCCGGCGGAACACCGGUGGCGAAGGCGGUUCUCUGGGCAUUACCUGACGCUGAGGAGCGAAAGUGUGGGGAGCGAACAGG